rnacentral:tRNA from 2 species
GGGGGUGUAGCUCAGCCGGGAGAGCGCUUGCUUCGCAUGCAAGAGGUCGGCGGUUCGAUCCCGCUCACCUCCA